AACACUAUACUUUCAGAGAUCGUUUCUAUAGUUCGUUACUAUACAAUUCUCUCUGAAUGUGUAGAGCACCGGAAACCACGAGGAGGAGGCGCGGUGUUCUUUCCUGAGCAUGAAGCCGGUUCUUGGUGUUGCUUUACUGCAAUUGCCACUUGCCACUGAUGAUCGGCCUCCUCUCCCUGGGGGAGUAAGAGGGAGAAAAGCAGUCUGAGUGGU